CAAUAGCGUAUAUUAUUGAUGUUGCAGUUGAAACGUUCGUAGUCGAACUUUACCCGCUUAAGUAUUGCGCUUUCGAUGAAGGUGUAUUACUCUCAGCGGGGAGUGUGCAAAGUUGUGGGUGUUACAUCUGCAGCCUCUUGCACCUUACUUUGAGUGAAUCGGCGUGUUCCACGCAGGCGUGUGCCUUGAACGAUUUACCAUAGCAUAACCAGAAUGUGGGGGUGUUUUCUUGUUAGUUCGGAAACACUUUCGAAACAGAAAAGAACGGUUGAGGGCAUUCGUAUUCAACUGCUAGAGGUGAAAUUCUUUGAUUAGUUGAGGACGAACCAUUGCGAAAGCAUCUGCCAAGGACGUUUCUUUUGA
rnacentral:rRNA from 1 species